rnacentral:rRNA from 1 species
UAGGGAAUCUUCGGCAAUGGACGAAAGUCUGACCGAGCAACGCCGCGUGAGUGAAGAAGGUUUUCGGAUCGUAAAACUCUGUUGUUAGAGAAGAACAAGGACGUUAGUAACUGAACGUCCCCUGACGGUAUCUAACCAGAAAGCCACGGCUAACUACGUGCCAGCAGCCGCGGUAAUACGUAGGUGGCAAGCGUUGUCCGGAUUUAUUGGGCGUAAAGCGAGCGCAGGCGGUUUCUUAAGUCUGAUGUGAAAGCCCCCGGCUCAACCGGGGAGGGUCAUUGGAAACUGGGAGACUUGAGUGCAGAAGAGGAGAGUGGAAUUCCAUGUGGAGCGGUGAAAUGCGUAGAUAUAUGGAGGAACACCAGUGGCGAAGGCGGCUCUCUGGUCUGUAACUGACGCUGAGGCUCGAAAGCGUGGGGAGCAAACAGGA